AACGAACGCUGGCGGCAGGCUUAACACAUGCAAGUCGAACGCGUGUAGCAAUACACGAGUGGCGCACGGGUGAGUAACGCGUGGAUAUCUGCCUUUUGGUUCGGAAUAACUCCGGGAAACUGGAGCUAAUACCGGAUGGUUCCUUCGGGAUAAAGAUUUAUCGCCAAAAGAUGAGUCCGCGUACGAUUAGCUAGUUGGUGAGGUAAUGGCUCACCAAGGCGACGAUCGUUAGCUGGUCUGAGAGGACGAUCAGCCACACCGGGACUGAGACACGGCCCAGACUCCUACGGGAGGCAGCAGUGGGGAAUAUUGGACAAUGGGGGCAACCCUGAUCCAGCCAUGCCGCGCGAGUGAUGAAGGCCUUCGGGUUGUAAAGCUCUUUUGGCGGGGACGAUGAUGACGGUACCCGCAGAAUAAGCCCCGGCUAACUUCGUGCCAGCCGCCGCCGUAAGAC
rnacentral:rRNA from 1 species